AUUGAACGCUGGCGGCAGGCCUAAAACAUGCAAGUCGAACGAGUGGCGGACGGGUGAGUAAUGUCUGGGAAACUGCCUGAUGGAGGGGGAUAACUACGGGAAACGGUAGCUAAUACCGCAUACCAUCAGAUGUGCCCCGAUGGGAUUAGCUAGUAGGGGGGGUAACGGCUAACCUAGGCGACGAUCCCUAGCUGGUCGCAGAGGAUGACCAGCCACACUGGAACCAAGACACGGUCCAGACUCCUACGGGAGGCAGCAGUGGGGAUUAUUGCACAAUGGGCGCAAGCCUGAUGCAGCCAUGCCGCGUGUGUGAAGAAGGCCUUCGGGUUGUAAAGCACUUUCAGCGGGGAGGCGUUACCCGCAGAAGAAGCACCGGCUAACUCCGUGCCAGCAGCCGCGGUAAUAC
rnacentral:rRNA from 1 species